rfam:Erythranthe guttata cultivar DTN x IM62 scaffold_102_contig_35, whole genome shotgun sequence.
GCCGAGCCACUAACGAAGGCUUGUAACCCGAGUGGGGGCUUUAAAGUGAUUGAACAUUGGGCUAGCGUAUCCAGCUGGGCCGAAGUUGGCUGAUUGCUGGCUUGCCCAUUCCAAGUGUGGAGUUGGGCUAUGUGGCUCGGGCGUAGGCUCGGGCCACGUAGCUCCUAAAUUGAAGGGCAAUGCGUAAGGCUGGCUUCACAGAGCAACGAAAACCUUCAGCUUCGGACAGUGGAAGGAUAACGGGCCGGUUGCCAUCUUGGCCCAUUAAAGCUCGAUGGGCUAGCUCUUAAUUGAACAAUCAUUUUU